UUUAAGCCAUGCGAGUCGAGAGGUGAAAGACCUCGGCGUACUGCUCAGUAACACGUGGACAACCUACCCUAAGGAGGGGGAUAACCCCGGGAAACUGGGGAUAAUACCCCAUAGACUAGAGAAGCUGGAAUGCUCUCAAGUCCAAAGGUCCGCCGCCUUAGGAUGGGUCUGCGGUCGAUUAGGUUGUUGUUGGGGUAACGGCCCAACAAGCCCGUGAUCGAUACGGGUUGUGAGAGCAAGAGCCCGGAGAUGGAUUCUGAGACACGAAUCCAGGCCCUACGGGGCGCAGCAGGCGCGAAAACUUUACAAUGCGGGAAACCGUGAUAAGGGAACCCCGAGUGCCCGUAAAUUCGGGCUGUCCAUCAGCGUAAAUAACUGGUGAAGAAAGGGCCGGGCAAGACCGGUGCCAGCCGCCGCGGUAAUACCGGCGGCUCGAGUGGUGGCCACUAUUAUUGGGCUUAAAGCGUCCGUAGCUUGGUUGUUAAGUCUCUUGGGAAAUCUACCGGCUCAACCGGUAGGCGUUCAGGAGAUACUGGCAAUCUAGGGACCGGGAGAGGUGAGAGGUACUCCAGGGGUAGGAGUGAAAUCCUGUAAUCCUUGGGGGACCACCUGUGGCGAAGGCGUCUCACUAGAACGGCUCCGACAGUGAGGGACGAAAGCUGGGGGAGCAAACCGGAUUAGAUACCCGGGUAGUCCCAGCUGUAAACGAUGCGCGUUAGGUGUAUCGGUGACCACGAGUCACCGAGGUGCCGAAGGGAAACCGUGAAACGUGCCGCCUGGGAAGUACGGUCGCAAGGCUGAAACUUAAAGGAAUUGGCGGGGGAGCACCACAACAGGUGGAGCCUGCGGUUUAAUCGGACUCAACGCCGGAAAGCUCACCGGAUAAGACAGCGGAAUGAUAGCCGGGCUGAAGACUCUACUUGACUAGCUGAGAGGAGGUGCAUGGCCGUCGUCAGUCGUACUGAAGANU
rnacentral:rRNA from 1 species